UACGAAGGGGGCUAGCGUUGCUCGGAAUUACUGGGCGUAAAGGGCGCGUAGGCGGCACUGUUAGUCAGGCGUGAAAGUCCUGGGCUCAACCUGGGAACUGCGCUUGAUACGGCAGAGCUAGAGGAUGGAAGAGGGUCGCGGAAUUCCCAGUGUAGAGGUGAAAUUCGUAGAUAUUGGGAAGAACACCAGUGGCGAAGGCGGCUAACUGGUCCAGAUCUGACGCUGAGGUGCGAAAGCGUGGGGAGCAAACAGG
rnacentral:rRNA from 1 species